AAUCUGGGGAGGGGGAAAAGGCUUUGUUUUGUCUGUUCUGUGUGCUUGCUGGAGACAGAUCAAGAAAGCAAGCAAUCUAACUCCAUUAGUAUUAGUAAGUACUAGCGAAGGAAUGUGUUAACUUACUUUUAUUUUGGCUUGUGAUUUCCUUUGUAGGAGGAGGGAGGUUUAUCCUGGAUUUGUACUUUAAGGUUUUGCCUAGAGGGGAGAUCCUCUGUGUUCUUGAGUCUUUUGUUAUUCUGUAAAGUACUUACCAUCCCGAUUUUACAAAGACAAAUUAAAGUGUCACCCUCGCAUAUUUGAGUGGUGAGAAGCAAUAAGCAAAUGGAAAUGGGCCAUGAUUCAAAUCAUCAGCUUAAUUUGGGGGAAGCAGUAAGGAGGUUAUGGAUACCUGGAGAUGCCUCACCUACAAAGUAUAUAGUAAGGGUAUAUUAUAGUUUAUUUAUAUAUUUUUCUGUUUACAGAGAUAGCUUCAUAAACUAUUAAGCACAAGUGCAAUGUGUUGAGCAUCUCUAUAACACUUGGAACAGAUCCUCUUCUGAUGUAAAUGGGCAUCACUCCAUUGAAAUUAAUGGGGCUACUCUCUUUUACACCAGCUGAUAAUCUGGCCUUUAAAAUUUACAUUCUUAUAUAAAUAUCACAUAAUCAAACUUAAAUGAUGGUACAGUAAACUGAUGAACUGACUUUUCUUUUGCUUUCUCUUUUAGAUUCUCUUAUAUACCAGUUAACGUGACUGGACUACACUUCCUGUCAUCUAGCAAGUGGACCAGAAGAUUUUCAAAGAGAGCCACAUAAUUCCCACUGACCACAGAAAGUUGAAAAAUUCCUCUUUCUAAAUGUGGAGGUUAUGAUUCAAGUUAAUUUUAACAUUCAAAUGAGCAGUUGAGGCCUUUGAGGUAUGCCCAUCACUGAUCAAUACCCUUACCGGUAGGAGAAAGGUAUUAUAGGAGAAAGGAAAAUAAAUGGGAUCAGGAGUUUGUUGCAAAAAAUCUUAAAACACAAAAAACAAGGUCAUUUAGUACAUGACUCAGAGACCAACACAGGAUAUCGAAAUAUAGUUCUGUAUUAUCCAUUGUUUUGCCCAGUCUCAUUGUAAUUGCCCCAAGUAUGUGGUUUCCACCAUUUCACUUGCGAAACUACUCUGUAAUCUACUAGAUCUUAGGUACGAUUUUUUCAUCCUUUUCACCAACACCACCAAAGAAAAAAGGCUCGUUUUUAUUCUACCAUCUCCCACCCUUCACUGUUAGUUUACAACAAUACAAUUAAAAGCAAUCCUGUUAGCACUCUUUAUGAGUUUUAUAUUCUUUCACUUCAGUUCAUUUUCAUGCAGCAUUUGGUCUGGCUAGCUGUUGUAAGUUGCUAUAUCCAAUUCUACAAAGUGUUACUGGAAAUACUUAUAUAUUCAAGUUGCUAUACACAAAUACAUUAAAUUGAGUUACACAAAUAAAACUCUUAAAAAAUCCUAAA